UACGUAGGGGGCGAGCGUUGUCCGGAUUCAUUGGGCGUAAAGAGCUCGUAGGCGGCUUGGUAAGUCGGGUGUGAAACCUCCAGGCUCAACCUGGAGACGCCACUCGAUACUGCCAUGGCUAGAGUCCGGUAGGGGCCCACGGAAUUCCUGGUGUAGCGGUGAAAUGCGCAGAUAUCAGGAGGAACACCGGCGGCGAAGGCGGCUCUCUGGACCGAUGCUGACGCUGAGACGCGAAAGCGUGGGGAGCAAACAGG
rnacentral:rRNA from 1 species